rnacentral:rRNA from 1 species
UACGUAGGGGGCUAGCGUUGUCCGGAAUCAUUGGGCGUAAAGAGCGUGUAGGCGGCCCGGUAAGUCCGCUGUAAAAGUCAAAGGCUCAACCUUUGAAUGUCAGUGGAUACUGCCGGGCUAGAGUCCGGAAGAGGCGAGUGGAACUCCUGGUGUAGCGGUGGAAUGCGCAGAUAUCAGGAAGAACACCGGUGGCGAAGGCGGUUCUCUGGGCCGAUACUGACGCUGAGGAGCGAAAGCGUGGGGAGCGAACAGG